CCAGACAGCCAGGAUGUUGGCUUAGAAGCAGCCAUCAUUUAAAGAAAGCGUAAUAGCUCACUGGUCGAGUCGGCCUGCGCGGAAGAUGUAACGGGGCUAAACCAUGCACCGAAGCUGCGGCAGCGACGCUGAUGCGUUGUUGGGUAGGGGAGCGUUCUGUAAGCCUGUGAAGGUGUGCUGUGAGGCAUGCUGGAGGUAUCAGAAGUGCGAAUGCUGACAUAAGUAACGAUAAAGCGGGUGAAAAGCCCGCUCGCCGGAAGACCAAGGGUUCCUGUCCAACGUUAAUCGGGGCAGGGUGAGUCGACCCCUAAGGCGAGGCCGAAAGGCGUAGUCGAUGGGAAACAGGUUAAUAUUCCUGUACUUGGUGUUACUGCGAAGGGGGGACGGAGAAGGCUAUGUUGGCCGGGCGACGGUUGUCCCGGUUUAAGCGUGUAGGCUGGUUUUCCAGGCAAAUCCGGAAAAUCAAGGCUGAGGCGUGAUGACGAGGCACUACGGUGCUGAAGCAACAAAUGCCCUGCUUCCAGGAAAAGCCUCUAAGCAUCAGGUAACAUCAAAUCGUACCCCAAACCGACACAGGUGGUCAGGUAGAGAAUACCAAGGCGCUUGA
rnacentral:rRNA from 1 species